CCAAUAGCGUAUAUUAAAGUUGUUGCAGUUAAAAAGCUCGUAGUUGAAUUUCGGGGUCAGCAGGUUGGUCGUGCCUAUGGUAUGCACUGGCUUUACUGAUUCCUCCUUCUUGAAGAACUGUAAUGUCAUUAAUUUGGUGUUGCAGGGAAACAGGACUGUUACUUUGAAAAAAUUAGAGUGUUUAAAGCAGGCUAACGCUUGAAUACAUUAGCAUGGAAUAAUGAAAUAGGACGUUUGAUCCUAUUUUGUUGGUUUCUAGGAUUGACGUAAUGAUUAAUAGGGAUAGUUGGGGGCAUUAGUAUUCAAUUGUCAGAGGUGAAAUUCUUGGAUUUAUUGAAGACUAACUACUGCGAAAGCAUUUGCCAAGGAUGUUUUCAUUAAUCAAGAACGAAAGUUAGGGGAUCGAAGACGAUCAGAUACCGUCGUAGUCUUAACCAUAAACUAUGCCGACUAGGGAUCGGAUGAUGUUAAUUUUUUAAUGACUCAUUCGGCGCCUUACG
rnacentral:rRNA from 1 species